CCCAUAGAUUAAACACAUAAAUAAUAUUGUACUACCUACACUUACUUAAACAAUUAAUUUAAACAAACAGUUUUAAAAAUGACUCGACACGCUCGAAAUUGUACAGCAGGUGCUGUGUAUACAUAUCAUGAAAAGAAAAAGGACGCUGCUGCUUCUGGCUACGGUACUCAAAGUGAACGUGUCGGAAAAGACUCCAUAAAAAACUUUGAUUGCUGCAGCCUAACAUUACAGCCUUGUAGAAACCCUGUGGUCACAAAAGAAGGCUACUUAUUCGAUAAGGAAGCUAUUUUAGAGUACAUCAUCAGUAAGAAGAACGCAUAUAACCGCUUAUUAAAGAAAUAUGAGAAACAAUUAAAAAAAGAUGAAGUUGAAAGAGCCGAGCUUGCGGUGGCUGAAAAAGAAGCGAAACUCAUUAAAUUCAUGAACAGGGAAAAAAAUAUUUCAUCUACUACACCAAGUACUUCAGCUAUAGAGGAAAAAACGAUAAAUUCAGUAUCAAAUAUAGCGAAUGGUAAAGAAAAACAGUUACCUAGUUUUUGGGUACCAUCCCAACUUCCCGAUGCAAAGAUUUCGAAAAUAGAAAAACCUGAUCCAACCGUUUACUGUCCGAUCAGCGGCAAACCAUUGAAAAUGAAGGAUUUAAUAGAAGUUAAGUGGACAUUGGUGAAUGAUCCAGAUGAUAAGAAGUCUUUAAUAGCCAAAGAAAACCGGUACAUGUGUCCAGUGACACAUGAUAUAUUAAGUAAUGCUGUGCCCUGCGCUGUUAUCAGAACUUCAGGACAUGUUGUGACAAUGGAAUGUGUUGAGAAAAUCAUAAAAAAAGAUUGGUUGCAUCCAUUAACUGGUGAGAAACUUAAAGAAAAAGAUAUAAUUCUACUGCAAAGAGGGGGCACUGGAUAUGCACUCACCAAUCAAAACCUAGAAGGGAAAAAUGAAAGGCCUGUUUUACAAGCGUAAUUAAAUAAAUAUCUGUAGAACAAAAAUAAUAUAUACAGUCAAAACCGUUUACUGCGACAUCGUUUAGAACAACAUGUAUAUAUCGUUUAGAACAAUGCUAUAUGACCGCCUUAUUAAAAACAUUGCUUUAUACGACAUUGCUAAUAACGACAUACCUCAUAAAACGACCACAUUUAACUAAUAUUUCGUAGAAUUAGAUUUGUUACUACGACCGGCUAAACUGUAUUGUAAACAAUUUGAAUAGGUAUCCACAUUUGUCUUCAAUGGCUAUUAAAAUCAGGAAAGAAAACAAUAGGAUUUAGUUUAGUGUAGGGUUUUUUCUAAUUCUUAGAAACAAAACACGUGCAUGCAGUUACUGUACCAACUUUGAAUGAUGGUAUCAAUGCUGUUAGUGUAUUAAGAAAGAUUGCUCUUUUUAAUGAACAGUUCCACAUCCACGACAAUUAUGAAGAUACGUUAAUUAAAAUCCAACGUGAAUUACUAAAUAUCUAUGCACAACAGAAGUGUUCCAAACAGACCAAAAUUACAAAUUUUAUGCUCACAGAAAAAUAAUAUGCAUUGUACUUAUGUGUAAUAAACAAAAUGUACAUAGUUGAAUAAAUAUAUUUUUCCAAUAAUUCCCCAUCGAUUUGUUUGUACUUGCACGAUACACAUUAAACAUCAUCGGUUGUUACGACUAUCGGUUAUUACGACUGAAUAUGAGCAGUCCCUUCGAUGUCGUUAUAACAGAUUUUGACUGUAGUUAGAUUGUGAGAAUAUUCAUUUACACUUUGUGUUCUGUAUGAAUGUUCCUCCAAUUUUGUUUUGUUUGUGGGAAUUUCUUUUUAUUUUUUUUUAUGGUGUAGAAGAGUGGACAAGCUCAUGGCCCACCUGGUGUUAAGUGGUUACUAGAGCCCAUAGACAUCUAAAACAUAAAUGCCGCCACCUACCUUGAGACAAGAGUUCUAAGGUCUCAAUUUUAAUAGUACAUAUCUUAAGAUAAAAAUCAGUUUUAAAUUUAGAUCAUGGUGGAGGUCAACAUUCCUCACGUACUACGAUGCUCUCAUGGCUAUCCUGCAGAAACGGGAUAACCAGAAUGUUUCUGUGGAGUGUCCUGCGGUACUAUCAGCUUUGGAUGUUUCACUGUUCUACCGCUUCGUGUGACUUUGGUCUGAAAAAGUUAUUCUGUUAGCAUCAACAAUCACUGCACACAAAUUAAGUUUAAAUUUGAAUAAAAUUGGAACUGUUAUCCUUUGGUCCACUACCACCCUGUUCACAUAUUUCCUCUCUGUAAUUAUAAUUAACUUUAAAAUUUAAGAAAGAAAUUAUGCUCACCACGGCAGGUAGCUCUGGUUCGUCUACAAAAUCUUCAAUAACAAUCUGUUUUUUCACAAAUUCUUUUUUCGGUAUCUCAAUCUUUUUUUCUUCUUUCUUCUCUUUAAAGAUGAUGUUCUUUUUACCUGCGAUAACGAGGUCCUUCGGAGAAAUAACCCUGUAAGAAAAAAAUUAGCUUUAUUCAAAUAUAAUAAAACUACUCCAAAGCUACCUGCCAUAUUAUGUUGAUAUACACUGAACUAUGAUACACUAAUACACAAAAUUGUUUAUUUUAUAACAAAUUAUAAGAUGAUUUAGUAUAAUAACAAUUAAAGUACUUUUACGAUUUAA